GCCUCAUACUGGGGGAGUAACAGUUGGAAACGAACUGUUAAGUACCGCAUAAGCGCACGGUGUCGCAUGACACAGUGUGAAAAACUACCGGUGGUAGUGAGAUGGGCCCGCGUCAGAUUAGCUAGUUGGUGAGGUAAAGGCCCACCAAGGCGACGAUCUGUAGCCGGACUGAGAGGUCGGACGGCCACAUUGGGACUGAGACACGGCCCAAACUCCUACGGGAGGCAGCAGUGGGGGAUAUUGCACAAUGGAGGAAACUCUGAUGCAGCGACGCCGCCGUGAGUGAAGAAGUAUUUCGGUAUGUAAAGCUCUAUCAGCAGGGAAGAAAGGCUCUUCGGAGAGAUGACGGUACCUGACUAAGAAGCCCCGGCUAACUACGUGCCAGCCGCAGC
rnacentral:rRNA from 1 species